rnacentral:lncRNA from 1 species
CUGCACACCAAGCGUGGAUUCUGCAAAACGUGAGCCCAACAGGAAGCUGCCUGCAAUUUCAGGUAGCUUUUCUGACUCUUAAAGAGAUCUCAAGUAUACCUUCAGAGAAAUGCCAGCAAAAACUGUAGUCAUUUGGGAAGGAAUAAGCCUGGAAGAAAAAGAUACAACGAACUAGCACAACGAGGAGUUUGAAAAGUUCAUGACAGCUCACAGCUGAUGAUGGUGGCAAUCUUAAGGAUACAGAAAGCUCAUUCCUCAUGCAGGGAAGAAGAAAAUAUUCUAAAGAAGAGAUAAGCAUAUUCCAUGAAAUCAAAAAAGCGUAAAACGCUGGAGGAGAAGUCAGUAGCAAGCAGCUAAGACAACAUGGUACAUGUGGGUCCAAUGUGAAAAACACUAAGUGGGAUGGUUAAUUGUAUGUGU